UACGUAGGCAGCGAGCGUUGUUCGGAGUUACUGGGCGUAAAGAGUGCGUAGGCGGUUUUCUAAGUUUGGUGUGAAAUCUCCCGGCUUAACUGGGAGGGUGCGCCGAAGACUGGAAGGCUUGAGUAUGGGAGAGGUAAGCGGAAUUCCUGGUGUAGCGGUGAAAUGCGUAGAUAUCAGGAGGAACACCCGUAGCGAAGGCGGCACUCUGGGCCGGAACUGACGCUGAGGAGCGAAAGCGUGGGGAGCGAACAGG
rnacentral:rRNA from 1 species